GCUCAGGAUGAACGCUGGCGGCGUGCCUAAUACAUGCAAGUCGAGCGAACGGACGAGAAGCUUGCUUCUCUGAUGUUAGCGGCGGACGGGUGAGUAACACGUGGAUAACCUACCUAUAAGACUGGGAUAACUUCGGGAAACCGGAGCUAAUACCGGAUAAUAUUUUGAACCGCAUGGUUCAAAAGUGAAAGACGGUCUUGCUGUCACUUAUAGAUGGAUCCGCGCUGCAUUAGCUAGUUGGUAAGGUAACGGCUUACCAAGGCAACGAUGCAUAGCCGACCUGAGAGGGUGAUCGGCCACACUGGAACUGAGACACGGUCCAGACUCCUACGGGAGGCAGCAGUAGGGAAUCUUCCGCAAUGGGCGAAAGCCUGACGGAGCAACGCCGCGUGAGUGAUGAAGGUCUUCGGAUCGUAAAACUCUGUUAUUAGGGAAGAACAUAUGUGUAAGUAACUGUGCACAUCUUGACGGUACCUAAUCAGAAAGCCACGGCUAACUACGUGCCAGCAGCCGCGGUAAUACGUAGGUGGCAAGCGUUAUCCGGAAUUAUUGGGCGUAAAGCGCGCGUAGGCGGUUUUUUAAGUCUGAUGUGAAAGCCCACGGCUCAACCGUGGAGGGUCAUUGGAAACUGGAAAACUUGAGUGCAGAAGAGGAAAGUGGAAUUCCAUGUGUAGCGGUGAAAUGCGCAGAGAUAUGGAGGAACACCAGUGGCGAAGGCGACUUUCUGGUCUGUAACUGACGCUGAUGUGCGAAAGCGUGGGGAUCAAACAGGAUUAGAUACCCUGGUAGUCCACGCCGUAAACGAUGAGUGCUAAGUGUUAGGGGGUUUCCGCCCCUUAGUGCUGCAGCUAACGCAUUAAGCACUCCGCCUGGGGAGUACGACCGCAAGGUUGAAACUCAAAGGAAUUGACGGGGACCCGCACAAGCGGUGGAGCAUGUGGUUUAAUUCGAAGCAACGCGAAGAACCUUACCAAAUCUUGACAUCCUUUGACAACUCUAGAGAUAGAGCCUUCCCCUUCGGGGGACAAAGUGACAGGUGGUGCAUGGUUGUCGUCAGCUCGUGUCGUGAGAUGUUGGGUUAAGUCCCGCAACGAGCGCAACCCUUAAGCUUAGUUGCCAUCAUUAAGUUGGGCACUCUAAGUUGACUGCCGGUGACAAACCGGAGGAAGGUGGGGAUGACGUCAAAUCAUCAUGCCCCUUAUGAUUUGGGCUACACACGUGCUACAAUGGACAAUACAAAGGGCAGCGAAACCGCGAGGUCAAGCAAAUCCCAUAAAGUUGUUCUCAGUUCGGAUUGUAGUCUGCAACUCGACUACAUGAAGCUGGAAUCGCUAGUAAUCGUAGAUCAGCAUGCUACGGUGAAUACGUUCCCGGGUCUUGUACAC
rnacentral:rRNA from 1 species